AUUGAACGCUGGCGGCAUGCCUUACACAUGCAAGUCGAACGAGUGGGGGACGUGUGAGUAAUGUCUGUGCAACUGCCCGUUGGAUGGGUAUACCUACUGGUAACUGUUGCCAAUACCGCCUACCAUCGGCUGUGUCCAAAUGGGAUUAGCUAGUAGGUGGGGUAACGGCGGACCUAGGCGACGAUCCCUAGCUGGUCUUAGAGGAUGACCAGCCACACUGGGACUGAGACACGGCCCAGACUCCUACGGGAGGCAGCAGUGGGGAAUAUUGCACAAUGGGCGCAAGCCUGAUGCAGCCAGUCCGCGUGUAUGAAGAAGGCCUUCGGGUUGUAAAGUACUUUCAGCGGGGAGGCGGUACCCGCAGAAGAAGCACCGGCUAACUACGUGCCAGCCGCCGCGGUAAUUC
rnacentral:rRNA from 1 species